rnacentral:sRNA from 1 species
CCCUAGCCCCGAUUGCAAUGAAAAUCCUUUUUUGAAAAAAAAGAUUGUAAUGAAAAGCGGGAAAAAGC